rnacentral:rRNA from 1 species
CCUACGGUCGGCAGCAGUGAGGAAUAUUGGUCAAUGGGCGCGAGUCUGAACCAGCCAAGUAGCGUGAAGGAUGACUGCCCUAUGGGUUGUAAACUUCUUUUAUAAAGGAAUAAAGCGAGGCACGUGUGCCUUUUUGCAUGUACUUUAUGAAUAAGGAUCGGCUAACUCCGUGCCAGCAGCCGCGGUAAUACGGAGGAUCCGAGCGUUAUCCGGAUUUAUUGGGUUUAAAGGGAGCGUAGAUGGGUUGUUAAGUCAGUUGUGAAAGUUUGCGGCUCAACCGUAAAAUUGCAAUUGAUACUGGCAGUCUUGAGUACAGUUGAGGUAGGCGGAAUUCGUGGUGUAGCGGUGAAAUGCUUAGAUAUCACGAAGAACCCCGAUUGCGAAGGCAGCUUACUAAACUGCGACUGACAUUGAUGCUCGAAAGUGUGGGUAUCAAACAGGAUUAGAUACCCGAGUAGUC